rnacentral:rRNA from 1 species
GACGAACGCUGGCGGCGUGCUUAACACAUGCAAGUCGAACGAUGAACCCGGAGCUUGCUCCGGUGGAUUAGUGGCGAACGGGUGAAUAACACGUGAGCAAUCUGCCCUUGACUCUGGGAUAACUGCGGGAAACUGUAGCUAAUACCGGAUACUUUCACCGGAAGGCAUCUUCUGGUGAUGAAAGAAUUUCGGUCAGGGAUGAGCUCGCGGCCUAUCAGCUUGUUGGUGAGGUAACGGCUCACCAAGGCGACGACGGGUAGCCGGCCUGAGAGGGUGACCGGCCACACUGGGACUGAGACACGGCCCAGACUCCUACGGGAGGCAGCAGUGGGGAAUAUUGCACAAUGGGCGCAAGCCUGAUGCAGCAACGCCGCGUGAGGGAUGAAGGCCUUCGGGUUGUAAACCUCUUUUAGCAGGGAAGAAGCGAAAGUGACGGUACCCGCAGAAAAAGCACCGGCUAACUACGUGCCAGCCGCCGCGGUAA